rnacentral:rRNA from 1 species
GAUGAACGCUGGCGGCGUGCCUAAUACAUGCAAGUCGAGCGAACAGAUGAGGAGCUUGCUCCUCUGACGUUAGCGGCGGACGGGUGAGUAACACGUGGAUAACCUACCUAUAAGACUGGGAUAACUUCGGGAAACCGGAGCUAAUACCGGAUAAUAUAUUGAACCGCAUGGAUCAAUAGUGAAAGACGGUUUUGCUGUCACUUAGAGAUGGAUCCGCGCCGGAUUAGCUAGUUGGUAAGGUAACGGCUUACCAAGGCAACGAUGCGUAGCCGACCUGAGAGGAUGAUCCGCCACACUGGAACUGAGACACGGUCCAGACUCCUACGGGAGGCAGCAGUAGGGAAUCUUCCGCAAUGGGCGAAAGCUUGACGGAGCCACGCCGCGUGAGUGAUGAAGGUCUUCGGAUCGUAAAGCUCUGUUAUUAGGGAAGAACAAAUGUGUAAGUAACUAUGCCCGUCUUGACGGUACCUACUCAGAAAGCCACGGCUAACUACGUG